UUCAUCUAGAUCGUUUUGGGUGACUACAUUUCAGACUCGUGCGCACAUCUCAUCAUCGUCUUCCUGUGUCGCAAGUCCAACCAUUGUAAAUUGGCUUUGACCAACUCCUGUAAACCACCUCAACCCAGUCCAGUUGUUCUAUCAUCGGAUCCAACUAGCCUUGCUAGUUUUCGUGCGCACGCGGGUGUGUAAGGAGUAAGGACCACCGAGGAAUCAAUUGUUCUUAAAAGCUCAGUUGCGCAGGAGCGGCGCAACAAGCAGAAGAUGACAAGGUGGCUUCUUCGGAGCGGGUAGUUACUUGGCUGCGCUCGCCGCAUGUGUUGGUAGGUGGAGCUCUCCAGGGGUCCUGGGGCGCACUCAAGAUGUUCGACGUAAUGCUGCACUCGCGAGGAUGGAAAUAUGCAGCUUGUCCAAUAUCGUGACUGGCUUACGGAAACUUUGUUGGAGUUCAGGUUGGUAAUAGGAAGAAGUUUGGAGUCAGGUUCUGGACACGCUAUGUUGACACCCAUGAAGAUCCAGUCUAGGCAGAAAGGCCCAUAUGUACAGAUUCCUGUACAAAGUGAUUCCCUUUUCUCAAAAAGAAAAGGUGGAAGGAGAUUCCGGAGUUUUUCCCAAACCUGGAGCUUUUUCCAAACCACCUCAGACUUCAUACCUAAAAGAAAAAGAAAAAGAAAUUACUAGAGCACUAGGAGUAGGCAAUGCUGGGUCAAAGAGUUGGUGCUAGAGCAGUAGCACUUAGCACAACUGAUUACAGCUAAGAUGAGUGGGACUCCAUCAUCAAGCAAAUCAAUUGUUACACAUGCAGACCAAGCACAGGAGAUGGAAUUCAUACCAAAUUACACCAAGUUGGAAGGAACAAAAAAUUACUUAAGCUGGUAUAGAAGGUCGUUGCUGAUCUUGCAGACAAGGAGGUUAGAAAGCUUUGUCCAAUGAGAAUCAACCAAUAGACAAGUCUAGUACUGAGUGGAAAAAUUGGAGUGCCACUACUUCAGUGGUGGCAUCGUUGUGUCUAUGACCCUGCCACUAUGUCAGGCACACAGGAGAUAUGACAGAUCUUGUCAAAGCUAUAUUCUGGAGCAGAGAAUGUGAAGUUGAUGACGUGUAGCAGGGGGAGCCCUCUGUGAUGGAAUAUGUUGCCAAGCUGCAACACUUGUGGGUUGACCUUGAUCACUAUGAUUCUUUGGAUGCAGAAGCUGGGGCGAUUUUUCCCCCUUUUCGAAAAAAAAAACUAUGAUUCUCUUGAGUUGCCUCAUGCAGAUUGCACAUCUGUUAUGAAAAAAUGGAUUGAACGCACUCAGUUGGUAGUACAAUUUCUGAAGGGCGUUACUCAGAGUUCAAGGGGAGGUUUACUACUCUGUUUCAUCAACCUACUCUCCCUAAUAUGGAGGAGGCUAUAGUUGGGCAUGAGGAGUUCAGGUUGAAGGUAAUGAGGAGUAAUACAAUGACUCCACUUUAGUCAGUCUUCAAAGUUACUAGGAAUAACGAGACAACAGACUGUUUACAUUGUGGUGAGGUCGAACACUUGGGUCGUAAUUGUGGUGUCCUACACAAGCCAAACCGUUGAAGGGGAAGAGGAAAUGAUAGAGGUGGAUCAUGGGAAGGUAGAGGCAGUGGACACAGAAGUGAUCCAAAAGCAAAUGUGUUAGUCGAGGAUGGAAGAUCUCUGCAGAAGAGCUAAGGAGCUUGAGAAAUAAAAUGCACACUACAGUUAAUAAAGGCCAAUGAGACUCCACCUUCCAAAAAUUUGCUAACUUUGUUUAUGCUAAUGAAGAUAAUUGUGCUCAUAAAUCUACAUCCUCACAGGUGUAACAGCGGGAUUUGAACCUAGAUUCAUGAGCAUCAGAACAUGUUGCAGACACGUCAAAUGAGUUUGAGUCAUAUAAUGAAUAUCUACCCACAUGUAAAGAAACCCGGAGCAAGUAGUGAUCUGCUGAUUAGGCCAGCCAGCCUUAGUAAAACUAUCAGCAAGUAUAUUGUCCCAUUGUCACGCUGCCACAAGUGAAAGUUCUUCAAAUUGCAGUGGGUACUUUCUUGAUCUCCAAAGCGAGAGGUCCACGCAUCAAACGAUAUUCACUGCCUGACACGGGCUAGGAUCUCGCCACCUUGUGGAUCAGUCAUGGAGGAAAAAUGGCAAAAGUACCCUGCUGAUCCCUAAGGACCACACUAACCUACCCAGCAUCCUCAGGAGGUAACCAACCAGGUUGCUUCCGUUUCAACUAUUAAGCCCAACCAGUCGAAUAACCAGAAACUCAAAUCUGGGUGGUGUGCUAGCGGUGUCUCCAGCACGUCAUAAUGGGAUGCCGCCUAGCUGGAUUCUUCGCUGGUGAAGCUCUGCUUCCACAGCAAGGUUGUUCUUCACCAGUCUCCAGACAUGCAUUGUGAACUUGUUCGGCACAUCGGCUUCCGACAGCUACAGGGUCAUCCAUCCCUUGGUUGCACAAUAAGAGGAAAUUCUCAUCCCUGCCUUCUGCCAUUUUCUUCAUCUGCAUCCCCUAGUGUAAGCAUACUUGGUGGGAAACCUUACAUGUCUUUGGCUCAACAGAUAUUCUGCGACCCAAUCCGCUGAACUUUCCAUGCCCCAUUUGCCGCAUCACACUAGCUAGAAGUUAGACGAUACUGAGCUCAACUGCUUAUAUCGUUUCUUUUUUCCCAAACACGGUCCGAAGCGUUUGUCUUGGUAUAUUAGAAGAAAACCACAAAGAAAGCAUGUGAGUACAGCAGCGUAGCCAAGCUGCAACAAGAAAACGAAAAGAAAAGGAAGAGAAGAAAACAAGGAAGAGAAGGGGGGGAAACUAUUUGUUAGCCUUUCAGGGUCAGUUCUGAACAUCAUCUAGAGGCCUAGCAUGGAGGGGUAAAGGACGAAGGGCUUUUACCCUGGCCAGCAUCCAAAGCCUAGCUUCUCAAGGAUUGACAACACCAGAUUUUUCCUAUUGAUGUGAAGGAUUGGCAUUGGAGGCAGCAGAGGCAAACCAGGAGCGUCUGCCCCUGGCAUACACAUCAACAUGUUCGGUUUGGAAAGAAGGUCGUGUCAUAUCUGCUGCGAGAAGGAGCAUUGGAUUAGCAGGUGUGAGAUUGAUUCAUUCCUGAUCAUAGAGCGCACAUGUGUCAUCAUUAGACAGGUCGUGGCGCACACGUCUUUCGACUGUCCAACAUCGAUCAAGGUAUGCUAACCAGGCGAAAACCUUGCCUUUGAGAGGGGCCCAGCAUUCCCAAAGAGAGCUGUGAUGAGGGAAGAUUGUAGAACCUUCAAAGAGAGCGUUGUACGCAGAUUUGGCAGUGUAUGAUCCAGAUUCAGAGAGGUUCCAAGAGAGCACGUUCUCAGUGCCGGGGAUAAUCUCUUGGUCAGCAAUAAUAUCGACCAGGUGCAGGAACUGGAUAAUCUCUUGGUCAGCAAUGUCUCUGAAGCAACCAACUGUCGUUUGAAGGCACGAGGGUUUACUGCUGUGACCACCUCUGGUGCAAAAUCAGCGAUACUCUGCCCUGCGAUCCACUUAUUAGACCGGAAUAGAAGCGUGGUACCGUCACUAAGAGUAGCUCUAGUUUUUAUUUUUGAGCAGAAAGAGUAGCUCUAGUGGCAGCAUGCACCAGGGCAUUGACAUGGAGACCAACUUUGAAGGGGAAAUUGGCAUACGGCCUUGUGCUGUCAGUAUGACGUAGCCAUGCCCAGCGUGCACGAAGAGCCCAUCUCACUCGUUUCAGAUCGAGGACACCGAGGCCACCAAGUUCAGUAGGCCGACAGACGUCCAUCCAGGCUACAGUGCAGCUGCCUCUACCAUCGUCACGACCCGAGAACCAAAAGAACGAGCGCUGGCACUUGACGAUAGUUUCCUUGAUGGGUUUUAGCAUGUCAAUGGUCAGCAUGGUAUGAAUAGGUGCUGCCGCAAGCACAGAUUUGACAAGGACCAGCCUGUCUCCCUUGGACAUUAGCCCGGCACGCCACCCAGAAAGUUCGUCAUACAGUUUGUCGAUGAGGGGUUGCAAAUCUUCGGCACACAAUUUCCAAAUGGAGAGAGGCACUCCAAGGUAGAUGAUUGGGAAGUCCUUGACUGGGCAGUGCAGAUUCUGGGUGAUGAGCUGUCGCUCUUUAUCGCUGCAUCGAAUUGGCGUGGCAGUGCUCUUGAGGAUGUUAGUAUGCAGGCCUGUUGAGCAGUGAUGUCGAUCAGACAGUGAAAUACCUGCAUGACCAGGAUGAACAACAUCGGCGACAGUGGAUCCCCUUGCCGGGCGCCACGGUGAUGGAAGAUCUCCUCUCCUGGCGUACAGUUAACCAAGAUGCGUGUUGACGCCGUGGACAGAGGAAGGCAAACCAAGUUGAUCCAUAGGUGUCCAAAGCCCAUGUGCGCUGCAUGCCUGCAUCAGCUCGAUGCGGAAAGGCCAGGAGACGGUGUCAAACGCGCGAGCGAUGUCCAGUUUCAGAAACGGUAUUGGAUCGUUUGCAGCAUGAAAGGACUUGGCAAGUUGGACACUGGAAGCAGCUCAUGGUGUAAUCCGGGACAACUUGAAGCACCGAUUUCACUAAAACUUCUGUACUGGCAUUACACAGACCCUGACCUUUCAACCUUGUUUGUACUUUCUCCAGGCACAAUCCCUUGUAUGUUUCAAGCAUCCCUGCUUCGAUCUGCGCAUAACAUGAUAGUGCAUAAAGCCUCCAUCUGAAUCAGAAAGGUACCCUUGAGCUCAGUCUUCACAUGUUCAUGUUGCACAUCCCUGAAUAAGGUCGAGGAUUUAUUCAAAUUCACCUUCUGUCCCGACCUCACCUAGUAACCCUAAAAAACGAUUUCAGCACAUUCAUGCCAGUUGUGCUGGCCUCAAAAAGGCAAUGUUGUCGUCGGCAGACAGAAGAUUAAUGAUAUUCAGUCCACCUGCACCCAAACUGGACAACCUGUAGCAAAUGGUAGUCGCCGAGUCUGUUGGAGCAAUACCUAGAAAGUCUAGUACACGUCGACACAGAAUGAUAAUAGAUAGUUUAAGGUGAGCAAGAAGGGACAAUUAUAUUGAAUAUGUUUGAUGUACAAUACCUCCCAGGUUCUUGGGAUGAGAUGAGAGAUACGAUUGCACUCUCAUGCCUUACCUUAGAACAACAAAAAUAUGUUUUUCUGUUAAGCACAUUUGUCAACAAUUUUCAUGAGAACUCCUUUGACUAUCUUCCAGAAUGAGUUGGUCCGAAGUUGAUAUAUCAUAAAUAAAAUAGGAGUACUACCUCUGCUUAAUACCAUGCUACUUUCUGUGAGGCGGCUAAUCAAGUUAACAAUGUACUGCAUUUUCCAGUUUAAUAUAUAUGCUGAAGUUUACUAAUGAGUUUGGAAAGCUCUAGUUGGAGGGCUGUUCUGAUUCAAGCAUUGCGACGCAUGUGUUUGAUAAUAUACACCUCUCUGUUCAUACAAAUACUAAUCAUAUGUAACCAAGAUAGAAAAAUGAGAAGCUGCAGUUUCCUCUUCUAAAUCAAGACAAGAAAAUGCCCAGUGCCAAAGCAGUGUUGAUGGUUCUCUCUCCAGGUAUUGAUCUGAACGCAACUAAAGGUGUUGCCAAUCAGAACACUGCCUCUAUAGGCUCCUGCAGAAUCAUGAAUAACUGCCUGCGUGUUUCCAAACUGCUACGCGAUGGUGCACUCGGUCUGAGGUGAGCACCUGUCUGCGGUUGGCUUUGCUUUUGUCUCUUCCUUCCCUAUAAUCGGUCAGCACAAGUUCAGACAAAUUAUGUUUCUUUGCUAUUUCUCCGGACAGAGCACAUAGUACAAAAAGACAAGCAAUAUUUCAUUUGCGUCUACAUCCAUGACAUAUGUUUCGUGUUGUUGGCCAUUCUUCAUAGGAUCAUAGCGUGUGCACUUGCAGGAUUUGGGAGGACCAAAACAAGCUGAAGUAAGCAAAAAAAAAAAAAAUUGAGUACUACAAGUGGCAACCAUUUCUUAAAGAAAAAAAAAAUGAUGCUGGUAGACUUCCUUUUUUUGAGAGGGAUGGUCGUAGACUUGAUAGUUAUAUGUUUUAAAUCAUAAGUAGUGCCGAACUCUGCUGGAACCGAUGUAAUAUCUGUUAUUUAUUUGCUGACUAGGGAUCUCUGAUAUUUCUAGAUGUUCAGAAUUUGGCUUGUCAACCUGCCGGACCGUGUCCUCUCUGGCUCUUUGUAAAUGUCAGCGCUUGUUCUAGCGCUGCUCCAACUAGGUUGGCUCCCAUUCUUGAGAAAAAGCAUUAGCAGUGUCAUAAGUCAUAACCGUACUUACGACCAUUUUGACAGGAAUUUACUAGUAAUCGACGCCCACAUUUGCAUCGAGAUC